AUGGAUGGAUGGAUGGAUGGAUGGAUGGAUGGAUGGGCGGGCUAGUGAAAUUGUAGAAAUACCAUGCUUGUUUCUUGGGUAUCAGUUUCCUAAACAGUCCAAAUCUAAGCUCAGAAGUUUAGUGUUAAGCACCUUUACUUUAAUGGAUAAGCUUCAGCGUGCUCUUGCCAAGAGAAGAGGGCAUAAAUAAUAGUAAAAUUAGUUUGAAAAACGUCAGCAAUUUUGUAAACUUCCUGAUAGCAAAAUAGAUUUUGAUAUAUAAAAGAGUUUUCUGAGAUGACACUGCCUCUAUUUCUAUAACCAUUUCACUUGGACUAAGUAGUCCUAUGAAUGUAUCCCUAAAUGUGGUUUUUGAAAACCGAAUAGCUGCCUCACAACAAUUAAGUACAUGUUAUUUAAAGAGGAAGAACAAAUAAUAAAGAUUGAUUUGAAUGUGUAGGCUCCCUAUUAUAGCUUCUUUUUCCACACUAGUCAGUGAUUUAACCUAAAAUUUAAAUGUAUGGGUCAAUUGUCCUGUAUCAAAGUUACAGUAAAUAAUUCCAUCCACUUACAUAAGGAGAAGAUGUGGAAAAUGUAGAAACUGGGACUAGUCCAUGUACCUGUGAGUCAAGAAAUACUAAAGUAAUGCCCCAGUUGAGUUUGUGGGUUUGGGUUUUGAUUUGUUUGGGCUUUCUCUUUGUUUUUAACAUUAUAAAAAUAAUCUUUGAGGUAAAACUAAUUCUAUUAACUGGAAGAUACCCAGCUAUCUUCAUCAUUUUUUCAGGAAAGAUCAUUUUUAUUGUGGGGUAAAUAGGUUAAAAUUAUUCUGUAUGCUAUUUGAAUUUAGGUUCUAAAGUAAAGAAUCCGUAGAGGAAUCUAUGCAAUAUGUAAUUUGUCAAGAUUAAUUUUCAUCUGGGGAAAGAAGUUGCUAAGUGUCUCCAAAGCAGGUCACUCAAUAACUGAAAGUCCUCCAAAAAGAGAACUAGUGGGAAGCAUGGUGUGUGGUGGUGGAAAAGAAAAACUCCCUCAGUUUUUGGAGGGAAUAACUUUAAAGAUACUUAAGUGGCUACGUUUACUUGGUGCAGUUAAGAAUUAAACUUGUCAAUUUUAAUGUUGCUGUUACAUCUAAAAUAAACUUAUGUGAUGUUCUGGUAGUGAUCUGUCUGUAACUGUCAUGAAAUCAUUAUUGUGCUGAAUUUUACAGUCUGCAACUAUGUCAUUGUUGUGUACUGUGAUCCAUACAUCCAUAUUUCACUAGGGCCUAAUUUAAAACUCAUGAAUAAUCAAAGUAUGCUAAUUCAGACCUCUUGGAAUUGGGAAAAGACACCAGGCAAUAUAUCUGAAUUUAAUCUAGGUGAAAAAAAGAUCCCCAGGAAUGCCUUAUUGCCAUAUUUUAAAUAUAGUUACUAUAAAUAGAACUUUAGGCUUUAUUCUAGUGAGUAUGAACUGUAAAUGUGCAUAUUCUGAUCUAUUACUUUUUGUAGUGAAGAUUUUAGUUGAGUGAGUGGAUUUUAUGUUAAGUACUUCGAAAUUUUUGACAGUGUUUAAUAUAUCUAGUCACAAUGGUCUGAAUUAGUAUUUUGCUUAUUACCCAAGAAACAAAGGAUGGCCUUUGUCUUAUUUACCAUAUCACUACAAAAUUUAGCAGUUUAAAAUAACAGAUUUGUUGUAUCCUAUAGUUUCCCAAUCAAGCAGUGUGUGACAUAACCAGUUAGGUCUGACAAAGGAUCUUAUAUCAGGUAUCAGCCAAGGCUGCAAAUUGAUGAAGGCUUGACCGCAGCUACUUCAUUUCACUCACAUGGCUGUUCUGGAAACCAUUUGGGACAGAACACUAACAUAAGACUUGCUUAACAAAGCCUAGUAUUAGUCUUAAAAAGUUAUGGUCUUUUUGUUAUAUUGUAAUGAAAGCUUAAAUCUAACAAUUGGAAAGUGGUAUUGUUGGAUAGGAUAUUUUGUAAAUUUACGAACAUUCAGUGAACUCAUUUACUGUCCUCAACAAUUCAAGACAUAUGAGUUAAGUAUGGAUUAAAACAUGUUGAUACU
rnacentral:lncRNA from 1 species